CAAGAGCGUAUAUUAAAGUUGCUGCGGUUAAAAAGCUCGUAGUUGGAUUUCAGUCUAGGAAGGUUAACUCGCCGAAAGGUUGUACGUUGAUUUUCCUCAGACUUCGUCAGAAGCUCGUGCUGCACUUGACUGUGUGGUACGAUGUUCUGACCUUUUACCUUGAGGAAAGUAGAGUGUUUCAGGCAGGCUACCCAGCUUGAAUACAUUAGCAUGGAAUAAUGAAAUGGAUCUCGGUUCGAUUUCGUUGGUUCUAGAGCUGAGGUGAUGAUCAAUAGGAACAGGCGAAGGUAUUCGUACUUGAGAGUGAGGAGUGAAAUCCGAUGAUCUCUUAAAGACGAUCCGAGGCGAAAGCAUUUGUCAAGGAUGUUUUCAUUGA
rnacentral:rRNA from 1 species